rnacentral:rRNA from 1 species
UGAGGAAUAUUGGGCAAUGCCCGAAAGGGUGACCCAGCAACGCCGCGUGGAGGAUGAAGGUCGUAAGAUUGUAAACUCCUGUUAGAGGGGAAGAAUAACUAAGUUUGGAGCUUAGUAUGACUGUACCCUCAGAGAAAGCCCCGGCUAACUACGUGCCAGCAGCCGCGGUAAUACGUAGGGGGCAAGCGUUGUCCGGAUUUACUGGGUGUAAAGGGCGCGCAGGCGGAAUGGAAAGUCAGUGGUGAAAUCCUACAGCUUAACUGUAGAACUGCCUUUGAUACUUUCAUUCUUGAGUUCGGGAGAGAGAGACGGAAUUCCAGGUGUAGUGGUGAAAUACGUAGAUAUCUGGAAGAACACCAGUUGCGAAGGCGGUCUCUUGGUCCGACACUGACGCUGAGGCGCGAAAGCGUGGGGAGCAAACA